GGCAAGAUGACCGAGCGGUCUAAGGUGCUGCAUUCAAGUGAUUCCUCACUUACCCGGUUUCCAAACCAGGUCGUACUGCAGUCUCGAAAGAGGCAGGGGUUCGAAUCCCCUUCUUGUCA
rfam:Aspergillus carbonarius ITEM 5010 unplaced genomic scaffold ASPCAscaffold_9, whole genome shotgun sequence.